CCUACGGGGGGCAGCAGUGGGGAAUAUUGGACAAUGGGCGAAAGCCUGAUCCAGCCAUGCCGCGUGUGUGAAGAAGGCCUUCGGGUUGUAAAGCACUUUCAGUGGGGAAGAAAGCCUUGGGGCUAAUACCCUCGAGGAAGGACAUCACCCACAGAAGAAGCACCGGCUAACUCCGUGCCAGCAGCCGCGGUAAUACGGCGGGUGCGAGCGUUAAUCGGAAUUACUGGGCGGAAAGCGCGCGUAGGCGGUCUGAUAAGCCGGUUGUGAAAGCCCCGGGCUCAACCUGGGAACGGCAUCCGGAACUGUCAGGCUAGAGUGCAGGAGAGGAAGGUAGAAUUCCCGGUGUAGCGGUGAAAUGCGUAGAGAUCGGGAGGAAUACCAGUGGCGAAGGCGGCCUUCUGGACUGACACUGACGCUGAGGUGCGAAAGCGUGGGUAGCAAACAGGAUUAGAUACCCUUGUAGUC
rnacentral:rRNA from 1 species